rnacentral:rRNA from 1 species
GAUGAACGCUAGCGGCAAGCUUAAUACAUGCAAGUCGAGGGGCAGCAUGGUGUAGCAAUACACUGAUGGCGACCGGCAAACGGGUGCGGAACACGUACAGAACCUUCCUUCAAGCGGGGAAUAGCCCAGAGAAAUUUGGAUUAAUACCCCAUAGUACUACGGAGUGGCAUCACUUUGUACUUAAAGAUUUAUCACUUGAAGAUGGCUGUGCGGCUGAUUAGGUAGUUGGCGGGGUAACGGCCCACCAAGCCUACGAUCAGUAACUGGUGUGAGAGCACGACCAGUCACACGGGCACUGAGACACGGGCCCGACUCCUACGGGAGGCAGCAGUAAGGAAUAUUGGUCAAUGGACGAAAGUCUGAACCAGCUAUGCCGCGUGGAGGAUGAAGGCCCUCUGGGUUGUAAACUUCUUUUAUAUGGGACGAAAAAGGGACUUUCUAGUCCAACUGACGGUACCAUGUGAAUAAGCACCGGCUAACUCCGUG